rnacentral:rRNA from 1 species
AAUAGAUACCCGAGGUAGUCCACGCCGUAAACGAUGAGUGCUAAGUGUUAGGGGUUUCCGCCCCUUAGUGCUGCAGCUAACGCAUUAAGCACUCCGCCUGGGGAGUACGGCCGCAAGGCUGAAACUCAAAGGAAUUGACGGGGGCCCGCACAAGCGGUGGAGCAUGUGGUUUAAUUCGAAGCAACGCGAAGAACCUUACCAGGUCUUGACAUCUCCUGACCGCCCUGGAGACAGGGUCUUCCCUUCGGGGACAGGAUGACAGGUGGUGCAUGGUUGUCGUCAGCUCGUGUCGUGAGAUGUUGGGUUAAGUCCCGCAACGAGCGCAACCCUUGUCCUUAGUUGCCAGCAUUCAGUUGGGCACUCUAAGGAGACUGCCGGCUAAAAGUCGGAGGAAGGUGGGGAUGACGUCAAAGUCAUCAUGCCCCUUAUGACCUGGGCUACACACGUGCUACAAUGGGCGGUACAGAGGGUCGCGAACCCGCGAGGGGGGAGCCAAUCCCAAAAAGCCGCUCUCGAGUUCGGAUUGCAGG